rnacentral:rRNA from 1 species
UACGUAGGGAGCAAGCGUUGUCCGGAAUUACUGGGUGUAAAGGGAGCGUAGGCGGGAUGGCAAGUUGGGUGUUAAAUCUACCGGCUCAACUGGUAGUCGCACUCAAAACUGCUAUUCUUGAGUGAAGUAGAGGCAGGCGGAAUUCCUAGUGUAGCGGUGAAAUGCGUAGAUAUUAGGAGGGACACCAGUGGCGAAGGCGGCCUGCUGGGCUUUUACUGACACUGAGGCUCGAAAGUGUGGGGAGCAAACAGG